UACGUAGGGGGCAAGCGUUGUCCGGAUUUAUUGGGCGUAAAGAGCGUGUAGGCGGCCAGACAGGUCAGCUGUGAAAACUCGAGGCUCAACCUCGAGACGUCGGUUGAAACCGUCUGGCUAGAGUCCGGAAGAGGAGAGUGGAAUUCCCGGUGUAGCGGUGAAAUGCGCAGAUAUCGGGAAGAACACCCGUGGCGAAGGCGGCAUCCGUGGACCAAUUCUGACGCUGAGGAGCGAAAGCCAGGGGA
rnacentral:rRNA from 1 species